CAGACGUGAAGUUGUACCGUUUACAAAACUAAUAUUAUAAUAGCGUGGUGAUGACGCACACAACAGCUGAUAGUGCAAUGAUGACCAGGGACCAGCCAAUGCCGGCCUGCGACACCACCCACGAGAUACGGAGGAACAGCAUCACGCCCCAGAUGUUCAGGAGACAUGGGUAUAGCCAUGAUGAAGAUAAAUUUACUCCAAUAAGUAGUGUAAGCAAUAUUGAACGCAAAUUUUUUUACGACAUCAUAAUAAUGGCUCGUUCCAAACUAUAAGAAUACUGAAGUUAUAGAAGAAAUAAAGAAUUUGUUGUGGUGUAAAAAAAAUGUAUAUAUACUAUAUUUAAAUUUACAUCUAAUUGCGAAAAUACAUAUUCACGAAAUUGAACCGUUAAUGUUUCUUAUAAUUAAUUUUUAUGUUGUCGGUACCACUGCAACAUCAAAUAAUUCAAAAAACAUAAUCAUCCAUGGUCGCACUAACAAAAUGUUUUAAAGUUAACCUAAAAUAAAAAUGUAUGAAACCCG